UGGCAACGUGCUCCCACUUCGCCUUGGC
rnacentral:sRNA from 1 species